ACCAAAGCAAAGCUGGUCCCAGUGAAGGCGCCCCCAGCCGUAAGGGAGGCACAGGCGGUUUUAGGAGAGGGAAAGGUUUUUCUUGACGACUUCUAAGUUUGCAUCCUUCUUAAAAAGGGAGGUGCUGGAUGACCCACAGCCUUGGGUCCCCAAGCUCUGAAGCAGCAGGUCUAGGAGGGGAGGCAGACAGUAAUCAAAUAACCGUGCACAUCCAUGUGUGAUGAUGAACUAUGCCAAGUGCCAUGCAAGGGAGCUGGGGGCUUUGACAGCAGAUGAGAACAUUGAAGCCGAGAGAGGUUAAGUGACUUUCCCAAGGCCUUGCUGCCAACGAGUGCAAGAGCAGACUCAAACUUGCCAUUCCUGACUCCAAAGUGCCUACUUUUAACCUCUUCCAUUCCUUCCUCCCCUCUCUCCCUUCGGUUCUUCUCUUCCUCCUUCUCUCCCUCUCUCUCCCUUCCUGGCUUCUAUAGACAUGUACAAGCUCACAGUGAACUGGAGGCUGGUUAUUCACACUCCGCCAUUGCUCUGUGCUUUACACGCGUGUCGUUUCAUAACAAGGAUGUGAUUCACGCUCAACUUUGGAGGACACCUCUAUCCGUAUAACGUUGCCAAGUUCCUCGGCAAAUGUUAAGGUGUUGAGGGAGAAUCACUGACAUUUCGGAGUUGGGAGUGCACCCUCUUCUUUUCACACAGACGGAAUGAGGCCCGGAGAGGAGAGAAGGUUUGUCUGGGGAUGAGGUGGAUCGCCAGCCAAGGAGCGAAGACCAGAAACCGGAAGGCCCCCCCCCCCCGCCCCCAUGAUCCUUACCCCAUUGCAGCCACCACCCAGGGCACACAGCCCACUCUGAGAAAUCAGGGAAUCCCUUAGAAGACCAGGACACCCCAGGGAAUGCAAUAGAAAGGAUUCCUCAGAUGGACACAGAACCCGUACCCCGGCAGCACAAAGGCACCACCAGCCAUUCUAAGAGCCCUGACCCCCACCCCCACCCCCACCCCGGGCCUUAGGCUGCCAGAGGAGAGUCUCUCUUCAGAUGAAUAUGCUGCUAUGCAAGUGCUGUGGAGAAUGACAUUUCUACUUAAAGGGGUCGUAUUUCUACCCUGUUGAGUAGAGGACAGGAAAAGCGGAACCUGAGGGAGGUAAACAUGGCUGAGCCAUAAGGGGCUCCCUUUCCUCCCUCCUUCCCCGCCUCAGGGCCCAUGCUGGUGGUGGCUGUGGCUGUUGAGUAUUGGCUGAGAUUUCCAAUACCUUUUGGGGAUACCAGAUGUGAGAGUCUGAGGCUCUGGAGUCAGGCAGACUUGACUUCCAAACCAGGUCCUGACACCGAAGAGUCUCUGUUUUCCCAUCCUUAAAAUGGGAAUAACAGCCUUACCAUGAAUUUUUCGAGGGUGUUUGGAGAACAAGCCUGAGUUGUCAUAAACACAAAGCAAGGGGUACCAUGUCUGGCAAAGUGGGAAAAUGGAAUGGAAUAAGUAACAGGCCUGCUCCUGGCACGUCCGCAAAGUUA